GAUGAGCGCUGGCGGCGUGCCUAAUACAUGCAAGUCGAGCGAACGGACGAGAAGCUUGCUUUUCUGAUGUUAGCGGCGGACGGGUGAGUAACACGUGGAUAACCUACCUAUAAGACUGGGAUAACUUCGGGAAACCGGGGCUAAUACCGGAUAAUAUUUUGAACCGCAUGGUUCAAAAGUGAAAGACGGUCUUGCUGUCACUUAUAGAUGGAUCCGCGCUGCAUUAGCUAGUUGGUAAGGUAACGGCUUACCAAGGCAACGAUGCAUAGCCGACCUGAGAGGGUGAUCGGCCACACUGGAACUGAGACACGGUCCAGACUCCUACGGGAGGCAGCAGUAGGGAAUCUUCCGCAAUGGGCGAAAGCCUGACGGAGCAACGCCGCGUGAGUGAUGAAGGUCUUCGGAUCGUAAAACUCUGUUAUUAGGGAAGAACAUAUGUGUAAGUAACUGUGCACAUCUUGACGGUACCUAAUCAGAAAGCCACGGCUAACUACGUG
rnacentral:rRNA from 1 species